UGGCAGUGACGUUUGAUCUGUUGGUCGUUUCAUGAUUCGGCGCGGCGCAGACGGAGGAGGAGGUGGAGAGGCUGACGAGGCUCAAGGCCGGCCGGAUGAAGGAGCUCGUGCUCAAGAGGCGGCUGGAGCUGGAGAGCAUUUGCAGGAGCAUGCACGUGGAGCCCGAUGCGAGCACCGUGCCGGAGAAAUCCAUUGCGCUGAUCGACUCUGGCCUCGUGAACCCUUCCGAGCUCAUGGCCAGCAUCGACGAACAGAUAGCGAAAGCCAGGGAGGAGCUCCAGUCCAGGAAAGAGAUCAUGGAGAAGAUAAACAAGUGGCUGCUGGCCUGCGAGGAAGAGGAGUGGCUGGAGGAGUACAAUACGGACGAGAACAGAUUCAGUACCGGCAGGAUCGCACGCCUCAACUUGAAACGCGCGGAGAAAGCGAGGCUUAUCAUCACCAAGAUUCCGGCCGUGGUUGACAGCCUGAUGAGCCGUACACUCGCAUGGGAGAGCGAAAGAAAGAAGCCGUUCCUGUACGACGGGGCUCGCUUGGUUGCCGUCUUGGAGGAGCACAAGCAAGCCAGGCUCAGGCAGGAAGAGGAGAGGAGGCGACUCAGGGAGCAGAAGAAGCUGCGCACCCUGCUGAGCGAGAAGGAGGCGAUGCCGCACCUGAAGCGGCCCGGCAGCAGCUUCGGCAGGGCGGCCGAGCCCUGCAAAGUGAACCGGAAACGGGUUGACGCGGGCAGGCUCGCGUCCUCCGGUGGCAGUGGCACCACCAGCGGCAGCAGCAGCAGCAGCGGUGGUGGUGCGAGUGCAACCGAGCUCAUCAGGCCGCGUUCCUCGGCGGCGGGCUCGGGACAGUGCGGCGAGUUCUUCAAGGGCGUGAGGCGGCUCUCGGCGCCGCCGUUCAACUACGUCGCCGUGUCCAAGGGCCGCAGCAUGUCCUCGUCUCUAGCUCUGUCCUAAACUCGAAACCGCACAAGUAGCGAAGACUUGUCACGUGUGUGUAUAUAGAGUGCCACUGUAAUUUGUAGCCGUGUUACCUUUUACACAGAUUUUUUUGGAGGGUUAUUC